rnacentral:rRNA from 1 species
UACGGGGAAAAGAAACCAACUGGGAUUACCUUAGUAACGGCGAGUGAAGCGGUAAAAGCUCAAAUUUGAAAUCUGGUACUUUCAGUGCCCGAGUUGUAAUUUGUAGAAUUUGUCUUUGAUUAGGUCCUUGUCUAUGUUCCUUGGAACAGGACGUCAUAGAGGGUGAGAAUCCCGUUUGGCGAGGAUACCUUUUCUCUGUAAGACUUUUUCGAAGAGUCGAGUUGUUUGGGAAUGCAGCUCAAAGUGGGUGGUAAAUUCCAUCUAAAGCUAAAUAUUGGCGAGAGACCGAUAGCGAACAAGUACAGUGAUGGAAAGAUGAAAAGAACUUUGAAAAGAGAGUGAAAAAGUACGUGAAAUUGUUGAAAGGGAAGGGCAUUUGAUCAGACAUGGUGUUUUUUGCAUGCACUCGCCUCUCGUGGGCUUGGGCCUCUCAAAAAUUUCACUGGGCCAACAUCAAUUCUGGCAGUAGGAUAAAUCAUUAAGAAUGUAGCUACCUCGGUAGUGUUAUAGCUUAUUGGAAUACUGCUAGCUGGGAUUGAGGACUGCGCUUCGGCAAGGAUGUUGGCAUAAUGGUUAAAUGCCGCCCGCUA